rnacentral:rRNA from 1 species
AAGAGAAAGUAAAUAAGGGCACACGGGGGAUGCCUAGGCUCUCAGAGGCGAUGAAGGACGCGAUAAGCUGCGAUAAGCUGCGGGGACCGGCACAUACGGUUUGAUCCGCGGAUUUCCGAAUGGGGUAACCUAACAUACUGAAGGUAUGUUGCACAAGCGCGAACCCGCUGAACUGAAACAUCUAAGUAAGCGGAGGAGAAGAAAACAACAGUGAUUUCCGGAGUAGUGGCGAGCGAAACGGAAGAAGCCCAAACCGCACGUGUCACGGCACGUGCGGGGUUGUAGGACUGCGACAGGGUUACAUUAAAGCGAAGUGGAACGGGAUGGGAAGCCCGGCGGUACAGAGUGAUAGCCUCGUACACGCAAGCGAUAAUGGCCCAGCAGGAUCCUGAGUACCGCGGGGUCGGAGACGCCCUGUGGGAACCCGGCGGCACCAUCCGCCAAGGCUAAAUACUCCUGAGAGACCGAUAGUGGACCAGUACCGUGAGGGAAAGGUGAAAAGAACCCCGGACAGGGGAGUGAAAUAGAACCUGAAACCGUGUGCCUACAAGCGGUCGGAGCCCCGCCUUUUGGCGGGGUGACGGCGUGCCUUUUGCAUAAUGAGCCUACGAGUUGCUCCUCUCUGGCAAGGUUAAGCUUUUAAGGAGCGGAGCCGAAGCGAAAGCGAGUCUGAACAGGGCGCAGAGUCAGAGGGGGCAGACGCGAAACCUUGUGAUCUACCCAUGGCCAGGUUGAAGGUGCCGUAACAGGUACUGGAGGACCGAACCGAUAAACGUUGAAAAGUUUCCGGAUGAGCUGUGGGUAGGGGUGAAAGGCCAAUCAAACUGGGAAAUAGCUCGUACUCCCCGAAAUGUUUUUAGGAACAGCGUCGGCAUGAGAGUUUCAUAGAGGUAGAGCUACCGAUUGGGUGCGGGGGAGUCAAAUCCUACCAAAUCCAGACGAACUCCGAAUGCUAUAGAAAUAUUGCCGGCAGUGAGGCGCGGGGUGCUAAGGUCCCGCGCCGAGAGGGAAAGAACCCAGACCAGCGGCUAAGGUCCCCAAAUUACUGUUAAGUUGGACUAACGGGGUCCGGCUGCACAGACAGCUAGGAUGUUGGCUUGGAAGCAGCCAUUCAUUUAAAGAGUGCGUAACAGCUCACUAGUCGAGCGGCCGGGCAUGGAUAAUGAACGGGCAUCAAACAGUAUACCGAAGCCCUGGAUCCCGCUUUAAGGCGGGAUGGUAGGGGAGCAUUCCGUAGGGGGCGAAUGGAAGGGGCGACCUUUCCUGGACCUUACGGAAAAGCAAAUGUAGGCAUAAGUAACGAUAAGGCGGGAGAGAAACCCGCCCACCGAAAGACUGAGGUUUCCUGAUCAACGCUAAUCGGAUCAGGGUCAGUCGGGGCCUAAGGAUAACCCGAACGGGGAUUCCGAUGGACAACGGGUCAACAUUCCCGUACCCUCUAUAGCUGCGAUGCGGCGACGGAGCAGUGACACUGCCGCGUGCUGACGGAAUAGCACGUUGAAGGGCGUAGGUAUACGCCGCCCAGGUAAGUCCGGGCGGAGUGCCGAAGCCCGACAGUACCGCGACCCCCCGGGGGAGCGGACAGCGCAGGUAACCAUACUCCCAAGAAAACCCGCUAAGCUCCAGGCUAUGGAGGCCCGUACCGCAAACCGACACAGGUAGUCGAGGAGAGGAUCCUAAGGUGCUCGAGUGAAUCAUGGCUAAGGAACUCGGCAAAAUGGCCCUGUAACUUCGGGAGAAGGGGCGCUCGGGGCGACCCGAGCCGCAGUGAAAAGGCCCAGGCGACUGUUUAACAAAAACAUAUGGCUUUGCGAAAUCGGAAGAUGAAGUAUAAGGCCUGACACCUGCCCGGUGCCGGAAGGUUAAGAGGGGAUGUCAUCCCGACACUUGUCGGGAGAAGCAUUGAAUCGAAGCCCCGGUAAACGGCGGCCGUAACUAUAACGGUCCUAAGGUAGCGAAAUUCCUUGUCGGGUAAGUUCCGACCUGCACGAAUGGUGUAACGAUCUGGGCGCUGUCUCGGCCAUGAGCUCGGUGAAAUUGUGGUCCCGGUGAAGACGCCGGGUACCCGCAACGGGACGGAAAGACCCCAUGAACCUUCACUACAGUUUAACAUUGCCACUGGGCACAGGAUGUGUAGGAUAGGCGGGAGAUGUCGAAGGGGCCUCGCCAGGGGCCUCGGAAUCGCCCUUGAAAUACCGCCCUUUCUGUGUCCGGUGUCUAACCCCGCUUAGCGGGGGACACUGUUUGACGGGUAGUUUGACUGGGGUGGUCGCCUCCAAAAGUGUAACGGAGGCUUUCAAAGGUAUGCUCAGUACGCUUGGUAACCGUACGGGGAGUGCAAUAGCAUAAGCAUGCUUGACUGUGGGGCCUACAAGCCGAGCAGGGUCGAAAGACGGAUAUAGUGAUCCGGUGGUUCUGCAUGGAAGGGCCAUCGCUCAAAGGAUAAAAGGUACUCUGGGGAUAACAGGCUGAUCUCCCCCAAGAGCUCAUAUCGACGGGGAGGUUUGGCACCUCGAUGUCGGCUCGUCACAUCCUGGGGCUGGAGAAGGUCCCAAGGGUUCGGCUGUUCGCCGAUUAAAGUGGCACGCGAGCUGGGUUCAGAACGUCGCGAGACAGUUCGGUCCCUAUCUGUUGUGGGCGCCGGAGAUCUGAGUGGGGCUGGCCUUAGUACGAGAGGACCGGGCUGGACCGGCCGCUGGUGAAUCUGUUGUCCCGCCAGGGGCACUGCAGAGUAGCUAUGCCGGGAUCAGAUAAGCGCUGAAAGCAUCUAAGCGCGAAACUGGCCACAAGAUGAGAUCUCCAUAGAGGGCCCCCGUAGACUACGGGGUCGAUAGGCCGCAGGUGUAAAGCUGGCGACAGCAAAGCCGAGCAGGUACUAAUUGCCCGAUACUUUCAGCA